rnacentral:rRNA from 1 species
UGACGGAGCACGCCGCGUGAGUGAUGAAGGUCUUCGGAUCGUAAAACUCUGUUAUUAGGGAAGAACAAACGUGUAAGUAACUGUGCACGUCUUGACGGUACCUAAUCAGAAAGCCACGGCUAACUACGUGCCAGCAGCCGCGGUAAUACGUAGGUGGCAAGCGUUAUCCGGAAUUAUUGGGCGUAAAGCGCGCGUAGGCGGUUUUUUAAGUCUGAUGUGAAAGCCCACGGCUCAACCGUGGAGGGUCAUUGGAAACUGGAAAACUUGAGUGCAGAAGAGGAAAGUGGAAUUCCAUGUGUAGCGGUGAAAUGCGCAGAGAUAUGGAGGAACACCAGUGGCGAAGGCGACUUUCUGGUCUGUAACUGACGCUGAUGUGCGAAAGCGUGGGGAUCAAACAGGAUUAGAUACCCUGGUAGUCCACGCCGUAAACGAUGAGUGCUAAGUGUUAGGGGGUUUCCGCCCCUUAGUGCUGCAGCUAACGCAUUAAGCACUCCGCCUGGGGAGUACGACCGCGAGGUUGAAACUCAAAUGAAUUUGACGGA